UUAAUUUAUUUAAUUUUGAUUCAGAAGACACAUUUAAUAAUGAGUUUGAGAAAACUUCUGCCGGCCGAAACCGGCAAAGAAACAUGUAUAGUUAAAACAUAGGGUUGAAGUUUGGGCAUUAGAUACCCGAAACCUUUAAUGAUCCUUCCGCAGGUUCACCUACGGAAA
rnacentral:misc_RNA from 1 species